rnacentral:lncRNA from 1 species
UGCCGCCCGCCAUUUUGGCUUCAUCCUGCCGAGUUCCGCCUCGGCUCCUAGAGGACCCUCCGUGUCCUACUACCGCUGGAAGUGGGUCUCCCCGGUCCCAAACGAGGUUCUUCGUGGAGGCUCCGAGAAUCGCUUUGCCAACAUAACAUUCCUUGAGUUGUUUCAGGGUCUAGUCCUUUUCUGUAAUCCUGGUGCUGAGAGCCAGACUCCAGAAUGUGGUGCCCAUCCCAAAGUAUUGCUGCUCGUGGAUGCCUGACUAGAACAUUGUCCAGCAACUAGAAUGGCCCCGUUCCUUCAUUACUUUCUCACAUCCUGACCCACAAUUUCACUAACUGGGGGAGAAGAGUGUGCAAUGUUAAGAACUCCUGGCUCCAAUUACUAGCUGCAUGACCUCAAGCAAAGUAUUCCUCAGCUAUAAAGUGGGGAUAACACACGACAUACCUUUCUGAAAGGUUUCUGGCUGCUUGAUGUAUGCCUACUUACAACUUACCAUAAAAGGAGCCUCAUGUAUACUUCCAACAGUCCCCCAACCCCUUAUGCCAAAAGCAAAUAAAAACAGUCCAGUUGAAAGCAAUGUGUGAGCUGAUAAGACUAUUUACAGCACUGUGUGAAGAGGAGUGAAAGCAUCUUGCUGUUUUUCCUUUAAGGCUUAUUUGGAGUAUGUAUAUCUUAAUAGAGUCAAACACACCACAUACUAAAACUUUUUUAUGCUUAAAAAAGUUAAUAGCGUGUCUAAAUUAUCC